GGAUGCGAUCAUACCAGCACUAAAGCAUCGGAUCCCAUCAGAAAUCUGAAGUUAAGCGUGCUUGGGCGAGAGUAGUACUAGGACGGGUGACCUCCUGGGAAGUCCUCGUGUUGCAUUCCC
rnacentral:rRNA from 1 species